GGGCGAUUAGCUCAGUUGGCUAGAGCGCCUGCCUUACAAGCAGGAAGUCACAGGUUCAAGUCCUGUAUCGCCCA
rnacentral:tRNA from 2 species